AUGCUCACUUCAGCAUCACAUAUACUAAAAUUGGAACGAUACAGAGAAGAUUAAUGUGGCCCUUACACAAGGAUGACAUGCAAAUUUGUGAAGUGUUCCAUAUUUUU